GGGGUUGUGGCUCAAUGGUAGAGCACUUCCCUAGCAUACAUGAGUCUCUGGGUUCGAUCCCAGCAACACAU
rnacentral:tRNA from 1 species